rnacentral:rRNA from 1 species
UACGGGGGGAGCAAGCGUUGUUCGGAUUUACUGGGCGUAAAGGGCGCGUAGGCGGCGUGACAAGUCACUUGUGAAAUCUCCGGGCUUAACCCGGAGCGGCCAAGUGAUACUGUCGUGCUAGAGUGCGGAAGGGGCUACUGGAAUUCUCGGUGUAGCGGUGAAAUGCGUAGAUAUCGAGAGGAACACCUGCGGCGAAGGCGGGUAGCUGGGCCGACACUGACGCUGAUGCGCGAAAGCCAGGGAGCGAACGGG